rnacentral:rRNA from 1 species
GAUGAACGCUGGCGGUAUGCUUAACACAUGCAAGUCGAACGAAAUCUUCGGAUUUAGUGUGGGACGUGUCAGUCAGGCGUGAAAAUCUUGGUUAGGGAUCGCGACAACCACUGGAACCGGUGGCUAAUACCGGAUGUGCCCAGAGGUCAACGAGAAAUCGCCUGAAGCUGAGCACGCGUCUGAUUAGCUAGUUGGUGAGGUAAAGGCUCACCAAGGCAGCGAUCAGUAUAUGGCCUGAGAGGAUGACCACCAACACUGGGACUUCGACACGGCCCAGACACCUACGGGAGGCAGCAGUGAAGAAUUUUCGGCAAUGGGCGAAAGCCUGACCGAGCAACACCGCGUGCGGGAAGAAGGCCUUUGGGGCGUAAACCGCUUUUAUAGGGGAAGAACGAAAGUGAUGUACCUAAAGAAACAGCACCGUGUAAACCCCUGG